AUGUGCAGACCUUCAAGUAGGUCGGUGAGAGUCACGUGCAGGUCGCGUGAUAGUAUUUUUCAAUAUACACGCGUCAAGUAGUGAAUGGUCUGUUAUCAUCAUUAAUAGUAAAUACACAUCAAAGGAGGGGUAAGGUAUUUCGAUAUUUGAUAGAGAGGAAGCCGAAGAUGGAGAGCUGAAAAAAAAAGUUUAUCGGCGGGCUCGGAUUCGCUUGGUGCAGGUCGGGAACUGAUUGGCUGACACCGCCACGUGAAUUUUCACGGUUGGCUUGUGAGCAGGGAUCGGAUCCUGCCUUCCAUCAACUGAAUCGGAGCCCGAGGUGAAAAGUAGGAAAUACAGAGUUUCCAACUUUCAGAUCUGACCUUGUGUAGGUUCGUGUAAGUUUUUGUUAAAAAGUCUUGUGUAAUUUUUUUGAUUCUGUAUUUAGUUCUAGAAAUUUCAUUCUUUGUUUCUCAAAAAUUCAAUAUUUUGUUAAUAGUUUUGAAGCAGGGUGCUACUCGAUUGGCUAAUUAAAUUAGAUGUGUGUGAUGCCCCCACUCUGUUUUUAAAGGUUGUAGAUUUUGAUGUAGAAAAUCUGUAAACCCCAAUUAGUGCUUUAAGGGGGUUUUGAGAAUUUAUAGGGUUUUACAUUGGCUUAGGUUUGGUGAUAAUGAGACUCAGCGUGAUCAAUUCAACUCCUUGAUUGAAGAGACGUGGAGCAAGCUGAUAUGGAAGAAAUUAAGACUCGCAUGAAUAGUUCUAAAAGCUAAUUAAAAAAGUGGAUAAGAUUUAGACCUAAGAAAUUGCAAAACAAAAUUGUUUAAGUUAGUUUAUCAUCAACUAGUUUAUACUAUAGUAGUGUGUAUUGAAGUUUCAAAGUCAAAACAACUUCUAUUUGCUCGGUUUUGAUU